rnacentral:rRNA from 1 species
GUGGGGAAUAUUGGACAAUGGGCGGAAGCCUGAUCCAGCCAUGCCGCGUGUGUGAAGAAGGUCUUCGGAUUGUAAAGCACUUUAAGUUGGGAGGAAGGGCAGUAAGCUAAUACCUUGCUGUUUUGACGUUACCGACAGAAUAAGCACCGGCUAACUUCGUGCCAGCAGCCGCGGUAAUACGAAGGGUGCAAGCGUUAAUCGGAAUUACUGGGCGUAAAGCGCGCGUAGGUGGUUUUGUAAGUUGGAGGUGAAAUCCCCGGGCUCAACCUGGGAACUGCCUCCAAAACUGCAUGACUAGAGUACGGUAGAGGGUAGUGGAAUUUCCUGUGUAGCGGUGAAAUGCGUAGAUAUAGGAAGGAACACCAGUGGCGAAGGCGACUACCUGGACUGAUACUGACACUGAGGUGCGAAAGCGUGGGGAGCAAACAGGAUUAGAUACCCUAGUAGUCC